CUUAAUGAGUGUGUUGGGAUCUAUUUAAGAUUGCUUUGAGGAGGAGAGGUUUUCACAGCACAAAGUGGGAAGAGGGAUAAGGGGAAAGGAAUUAAGUGUGAGGAGGUCGUACCUUGUAUGGUCUACAGAUUCCUACUAUGGCUUUGAUUUCCUUGAGUUCUCUCUCACUCUCACCCCAAAAAAACACUUACACUAGAUCUACCAUCAUUUUAUUGUUAAAGAGGGAAAGGGAGAAAGAGUUGCCGGGAGUUUUUGGAAGUGGGAUGGGUGGAAAGAUUUGUAUUUUCUCUCUUGAUUUUCUAAGAAUGUAAAGCAAAUCUUUCCUACUCCUCCCAUUCCACUUAUUUCCAGUUCUUCCUCUCCACUUCUUACUUUUCUCGAUUGUUUUUGCUCUUUCUAGCACUCGUUGCAUCGACAUUUGAAUUCAGCUUCUAUUUUCUGUUUGAAAGCAAAUUGAUAAGUUCAGGUACAAAGGAAAUCCUUAUUUUGACUAUAAAGAGUCACGAAUCUCUUUAGUAUUUCGGAAAGUAAAAGCUAAUUUAACCAACAUCGCAGAAAUUUUUAGGUCUGGCGUUGGGUAGGUGAAGAUCAAUUAAAUCGUUUGAUUAAUUGAUUUAGUUGGAAGACAGGUGUGAAGUUUGAUCCACUGCCCCAAAAUAACUCAACAAUAAAAUAAGCUUUGCUAAUGGAUCUGAUUGUCUUAUGGAAUUGAGUCGUUAGCGUUGUGUGGGUGAAUAGAUUCAGACCGGCGGGGCGGCACGUAAAGGUUUUAUUGCACUGCCCAGAAAGCUUCCGCGAAAAAUAGUUGAAGCAUUUGGUUUUCUUCUCAAUUUUUGUUCAAUCUGUGUCUUUUCCCAAAAGAAAUUAUAAAGGUCAAAUUCUGCUAGUACCAUUGUAUUUUGUUUAGGCUUAAUUCAUGAUUUAUCCUUUGGAGUGUACCUAUUUUUUUACUCUGAUAUUUCAACUUUUUUUUCUCAA